rnacentral:rRNA from 1 species
UACGUAGGGUCCGAGCGUUGUCCGGAAUUAUUGGGCGUAAAGGGCUCGUAGGCGGUUUGUCACGUCGGGCGUGAAAACUCAGGGCUCAACCCUGAGCGUGCGUUCGAUACGGGCAGACUAGAGGUAUGCAGGGGAGAACGGAAUUCCUGGUGUAGCGGUGGAAUGCGCAGAUAUCAGGAGGAACACCGAUGGCGAAGGCAGCUCGCUGGGACGGUACUGACGCUGAGGCGCGAAAGCGUGGGGAGCGAGCAGG